UAAUAAGUGUUUUAUGGCACUCUUUAAAUCCAUAUCCACCUUGUGUGCAAUGUCAGUCGAUCUUCUUCAUGGAGAUCGACCAAACAUCAACCUUUAUCUUUUAACUCUUUGUCUGAAAAAUAUUAUGAAUAAACAAUUCAAAAUA
rnacentral:misc_RNA from 1 species